rnacentral:rRNA from 1 species
GGAGCACGCUUAGGCGUGUGACUGCGUACCUUUUGUAUAAUGGGUCAGCGACUUAUAUUCUGUAGCAAGGUUAACCGAAUAGGGGAGCCGAAGGGAAACCGAGUCUUAACUGGGCGUUAAGUUGCAGGGUAUAGACCCGAAACCCGGUGAUCUAGCCAUGGGCAGGUUGAAGGUUGGGUAACACUAACUGGAGGACCGAACCGACUAAUGUUGAAAAAUUAGCGGAUGACUUGUGGCUGGGGGUGAAAGGCCAAUCAAACCGGGAGAUAGCUGGUUCUCCCCGAAAGCUAUUUAGGUAGCGCCUCGUGAAUUCAUCUCCGGGGGUAGAGCACUGUUUCGGCAAGGGGGUCAUCCCGACUUACCAACCCGAUGCAAACUGCGAAUACCGGAGAAUGUUAUCACGGGAGACACACGGCGGGUGCUAACGUCCGUCGUGAAGAGGGAAACAACCCAGACCGCCAGCUAAGGUCCCAAAGUCAUGGUUAAGUGGGAAACGAUGUGGGAAGGCCCAGACAGCCAGGAUGUUGGCUUAGAAGCAGCCAUCAUUUAAAGAAAGCGUAAUAGCUCACUGGUCGAGUCGGCCUGCGCGGAAGAUGUAACGGGGCUAAACCAUGCACCGAAGCUGCGGCAGCGACACUAUGUGUUGUUGGGUAGGGGAGCGUUCUGUAAGCCUGUGAAGGUG